GAUGAACGCUGGCGGCGUGCCUAAUACAUGCAAGUCGAGCGGACCAAAGAGAGCUUGCUCUCUGAGGUUAGCGGCGGACGGGUGAGUAACACGUGGGUAACCUGCCUGUAAGACGGGGAUAACUUCGGGAAACCGAAGCUAAUACCGGAUGAUAAAGAGAAACGCCUGUUUCUCUUUUGAAAGUCGGCCUUGUGCUGACGCUUACAGAUGGGCCCGCGGCGCAUUAGCUAGUUGGUGAGGUAACGGCCCACUAAGGCGACGAUGGGUAGCCGACCUGAGAGGGUGAUCGGCCACACGGGGACUGAGACACGGCCCAGACUCGUACGGGAGGCAGCAGUAGGGAAUCUUCGGCAAUGGACGAAAGUCUGACUGAGCAACGCCGCGUGGGCGAUGAAGGCCUUCGGGUCGUAAAGCUCUGUUGUCAGAGAAGAACAAGUACCGGAGUAACUGCCGGUACCUUGACGGUACCUGACCAGAAAGCCACGGCUAACUACGUGCCAGCCGCCGCGGUAA
rnacentral:rRNA from 1 species